ACCUACUAGAAGCAAGGCUGUGAGCAGAAAACUAAAAACUGAAACAGAAACCACAAUUUUCCAAAUGCUACUGUUACUUACAAAAUAAGAAAGCAUUAUACUAAAUCAAUAUCUAAGACACAAACUAAGUUCAAACUCAACAACAGUGUAUUUAGAUUUACAUAUAUCAAGAAGACACCAUUAAUACAGUGAACUAACAUUAACUCUAUACAGAAGUAUAUUUUUGAAAAUAAGAAAACUGCUUCUUUGAGUAACUUGUUUGGUUGACAUAUUCUGACAAAUCUUGUAACCAAGGUAAGUCCUCCAUAUUCUGUAAGUAUCUUUCACUGACUCCUCCAUGCUCUAAGUAUAGGUCCUACAGAAAUUUGUCUGACACCCUCACUGCCAUAGACAAGUACUUAGUUGCAGAUGUAAAUAUGAGACUCCUUUAGUAUUCAUGUAUUUAAAGCAC
rnacentral:lncRNA from 1 species